rnacentral:rRNA from 1 species
UACAGAGGUGGCAAGCGUUGUUCGGAAUUACUGGGCGUAAAGGGCGAGUAGGCGGCCUUCUAAGUCAGACGUGAAAUCCCCCGGCUUAACCUGGGAACUGCGUCUGAUACUGGGAGGCUUGAGUAUGGGAGAGGGAGGUAGAAUUCCAGGUGUAGCGGUGAAAUGCGUAGAUAUCUGGAGGAAUACCGGUGGCGAAGGCGGCCUCCUGGACCAUAACUGACGCUGAUCCGCGAAAGCUAGGGGAGCAAACGGG